AUGUAUCCACUUGCUUUUGGGUUCAUUGCAUCUGAGACAGAAGACAAUUGGACAUGGUUUAUGAAUCAACUUAAGAUGGCCAUAGGAGAUCCUCCACUGCUUGCAGUGUGCACAGAUGCUUGCAAAGGCUUGGAGAAUGCGGUGAAGAAUGUGUUUCCCAAUGCUGAACAAAGGGAAUGUUUUUACCAUCUUAUGAAGAAUUAUUCAAAAAGGUUCCAUGGCUUUGGAAGGAUGUACCCUGCAGCAAGGGCUUAUAGGGAAGAUGUGUUCACUGAACAUAUGGCAGCAAUCAUUAAACAAUCAGAUGAGGUAUGGAAAUGGUUGAGUCAGUACCACACUCUGAAGUGGAUGAGCUGA
rnacentral:rRNA from 1 species